rnacentral:rRNA from 1 species
GACGAACGCUGGCGGCGUGCUUAACACAUGCAAGUCGAACGGAAAGGCCCUGCUUUUGUGGGGUGCUCGAGUGGCGAACGGGUGAGUAACACGUGAGUAACCUGCCCUUGACUUUGGGAUAACUUCAGGAAACUGGGGCUAAUACCGGAUAGGAGCUCCUGCUGCAUGGUGGGGGUUGGAAAGUUUCGGCGGUUGGGGAUGGACUCGCGGCUUAUCAGCUUGUUGGUGGGGUAGUGGCUUACCAAGGCUUUGACGGGUAGCCGGCCUGAGAGGGUGAACGGCCACAAUGGGACUGAGAUACGGACCAGACUCCUACGGGAGGCAGCAGUGGGGAAUAUUGCACAAUGGGCGGAAGCCUGAUGCAGCAACGCCGCGUGCGGGAUGACGGCCUUCGGGUUGUAAACCGCUUUCGCCUGUGACGAAGCGUGAGUGACGGUAAUGGGUAAAGAAGCCCCGGCUAACUACGUG